rnacentral:lncRNA from 1 species
GUGGAUAUUACGUCUGCGAGUCCAUCCGCCACACGACCUGUGAGCGGGGCGGGUACUCUGACGAACAAUAUGAAGUGCGUAAAUAACAAUAUUCACAAUUUUAUUUUAUUACCAUCAUUUGUGUUGAGUUUCAUUCAUUUAUAUAUAUAUAUGUAUUGACCCCUUCUUCAAAUUAGAUGUUUCGGAUGCGGAAUGAACUCCUUGCACCAGAUCGCAUGCGAGCAAUUCAAGAGGAAUGGGCGGCAUUUUUUCUUGACCACGUGAUCGUUGAAGACGGAGAAUACUAUGUGGACCAUGCGUCCGUAAUUUAGGAGAUUAUAUUUGUAAGAGAUAAUUAUUGUAUAUAUGUAGCCGGUAGUGUCGGAUAGAUAUACGAGAACUUGUUGUUCAACCAAUCUCUCGGAGAAGGAGAGGUGGUCGAUAUCACUUCUCUCUGUAUGCAUAUAUGUUCAUGACGAUCUUC